UUGGAGGGCAAGUCUGGUGCCAGCAGCCGCGGUAAUUCCAGCUCCAAUAGCGUAUAUUAAAGUUGUUGCAGUUAAAAAGCUCGUAGUUGAAUUUCGGGAUUAGUACGUCGGUCGUGCCUUAGGUACGUACUGGUGUUACUGGUUCCUACCUUCUGACGAACCAUCAUGUCAUUAAUUUGGUGUGGUGGGGAAUCAGGACUGUUACUUUGAAAAAAUUAGAGUGUUUAAAGCAGGCUCGCGCUUGAAUACAUUAGUAUGGAAUAAUGAAAUAGGACGUUGAUCCUAUUUUGUUGGUUUCUAGGAUUGACGUAAUGAUUAAUAGGGAUAGUUGGGGGCAUUAGUAUUCAAUUGUCGGAGGUGAAAUUCUUGGAUUUAUUGAAGACUAACUACUGCGAAAGCAUUUGCCAAGGAUGUUUUCAUUAAUCAAGAACGAAAGUUAGGGGAUCGAAGACGAUCAGAUACCGUCGCAGUCUUAACCAUAAACUAUGCCGACUAGGGAUCGGAUGAUGUUAUUUUUAAUGACUCAUUCGGCGCCUUACGGGAAAC
rnacentral:rRNA from 1 species